rnacentral:rRNA from 1 species
AAGUCGAACGAUGAAGCCCUUCGGGGUGGAUUAGUGGCGAACGGGUGAGUAACACGUGGGCAAUCUGCCCUUCACUCUGGGACAAGCCCUGGAAACGGGGUCUAAUACCGGAUAACACUCCUGCCUGCAUGGGCGGGGGUUAAAAGCUCCGGCGGUGAAGGAUGAGCCCGCGGCCUAUCAGCUUGUUGGUGGGGUAAUGGCCCACCAAGGCGACGACGGGUAGCCGGCCUGAGAGGGCGACCGGCCACACUGGGACUGAGACACGGCCCAGACUCCUACGGGAGGCAGCAGUGGGGAAUAUUGCACAAUGGGCCGAAAGCCUGAUGCAGCGACGCCGCGUGAGGGAUGACGGCCUUCGGGUUGUAAACCUCUUUCAGCAGGGAAGAAGCGAAAGUGACGGUCCUGGCAGAAGAGCGCCGCUACUACGU